UUUGUGGGACUUUAAUUUAAAUAAAAAAUAUAUGAUUUGCAUUCGUAAAAUUUAAG
rnacentral:tRNA from 1 species